rnacentral:lncRNA from 1 species
UGAGAUCAACAUGUUGUAGUCCAUUCUAGUUCAAAUUAUUCAAUCUUAUAUUCAUUCGAAAUAAUCAAAAAUAAUGUUGACUUUCCAUCACAACAAUCUGCAACAACCAAUAAACAAUAAGCUUCGACAACAAACAAUUUCAACAUAGGUAGCUAGUAAUUUCUAUCCAUCUGUAUCACUUUUUCUUCCCUCUGUACAAUAAUGGCAUCAUCACACAAAUAGUGGCGGCAUUAAUACAAAGCAAAAUGAACAAAAUUGCUCCAAAUCUCAAUUCUAAUAUUUCCAAUCUAUGUACAUAUGUACAAAGUUUCCCCAAGCAGAGCACACAAUAGGUCAUAGAACACCACACAGCAGCAACACAUGAAGCAUCCCUCUGCACAAAAGUAAAGCAGAGGCACACAAAGCAUAGCAAACAAAAAUUCCCAAUAUUUCUCCCAUCUGUUCUUACCUUUGAUCACAACAUACAAAUCCGUAGGAGUAGUAAUCUUAUUCUCAGCCACAAUCAGCGUGUAUAUCCUCCUAGAAAUCCGGUGCCAUCUCCAGGAACCUCGCCAUAACAAAUUGAGAAUAUACCAUGUAGUAAAUUUAGUGUGAGACCAAAUCAUUUAUCAAAUGGAACAAAUAGAGAAAAUGGGAAUUACUUGGCGUGGAGGUCUUACACAAAAGAAAGGAGUUGAGGAAAUCUACCAUACAUCUCAUGGCAAG